rnacentral:rRNA from 1 species
UACGGAGGGUGCAAGCGUUAUCCGGAUUCACUGGGUUUAAAGGGUGCGUAGGUGGGUUGGUAAGUCAGUGGUGAAAUCCCCGAGCUUAGCUUGGGAACUGCCAUUGAUACUAUUAAUCUUGAAUACCGUGGAGGUUAGCGGAAUAUGUCAUGUAGCGGUGAAAUGCUUAGAUAUGACAUAGAACACCAAUUGCGAAGGCAGCUGGCUACACGAAUAUUGACACUGAUGCACGAAAGCGUGGGGAUCAAACAGG